rnacentral:rRNA from 1 species
GAGUGGCGGACGGGUGAGUAACGCGUGGGAACCUGCCCAACAGUACGGAAUAACCAAGGGAAACUUUGGCUAAUACCGCAUACGCCGGGGAAAGAUUUAUCGCUGAUGGAUGGGCCCGCGUAGGAUUAGCUAGUUGGUGAGGUAAUGGCUCACCAAGGCUACGAUCCUUAGCUGGUCUGAGAGGACGACCAGCCACACUGGGACUGAGACACGGCCCAGACUCCUACGGGAGGCAGCAGUGGGGAAUAUUGGACAAUGGGGGAAACCCUGAUUUAGCAAUGCCGCGUGAGUGAUGAAGGCCUUAGGGUUGUAAAGCUCUUUCGACGGGGACGAUGAUGACGGUACCCGUAGAAGAAGCCCCGGCUAACUUCGUGCCAGCAGCCGCGGUAAGACGAAGGGGGCUAGCGUUGUUCGGAAUUACUGGGCGUAAAGCGCGCGUAGGCGGUUUUCCAAGUCAGGCGUGAAAGCCCCGGGCUCAACCCGGGAACUGCGCUUGAUACUGUGAGACUUGAGACCGGGAGAGGAUAGUGGAAUUCCCAGUGUAGAGGUGAAAUUCGUAGAUAUUGGGAAGAACACCAGUGGCGAAGGCGGCUAUCUGGACCGGUAC